rnacentral:piRNA from 1 species
GACCUGGACAAGGGCUGGCUCCCCUGAGC